UUUGUAAAAGAUAAUAUAAAAUUAUACAUACUAUGUGGUACGUGAAUCUAAAGUUCUAUCUUGAUAUAAUUUGCUCACAAAACAGCUGAUUUGGAUUGCAUUCUUGAGCUCAAGAGUCUGUGGAAAGUGUGGGAAAACUCAUGUUGAUGCUGGUUCCCUUGGCCCAGAUUCAUAAGACUGCUUUCAGCUGCUGCUUAUUUGAUGCGCUAAUUCAUGUCACUUUGUGUUGUAGGCUUCCCAAAGCGAUGUUUCAACACCAAGUCUAAGUGCACUUCCCCGGGAGACUGACAGGGUUGAACAGGAGAAGGGCGGUUAUUAAAUACACACUAAGGCAGACCCUGUGUGAUAUGAAUUGUAUGCUGUCCCAAGGAUUCAGAAGACUACCUCUUCUCCCAUACAACAAAUACCUGCCAGUUAACUGUCAGAGUGCUGUUCUCUGCAUAUAUCUGGUUUGAAACUCCUGGUUCUGAAGUUCUCCAUAGAUGGGAUCAAUGAUUAGAUAUUUGUGUUUUUACUGCUACAUUAUGGCUAUACAUAUAAUUUCAGGAUCAGUGAUUAGAAAGCUGUUUUGAUCUUCUCAAAAAUGCUCAGGUAAUCAUGUUUGAAUUUAAAAACCAAUGUCACUUUUUAAAAAAAUAUUUUCUAUAUUUUCUAUAUAAAGUAGGUAACAGGAUCUGUUAUAAGAGUAUACGUUCUGACCAUUCAAGUUAAUUGAGGUAUAUUCAGACCAAAUGAAAAAAUAAAAGGAACCAAUGAACAGUUUUUGUUAUAAGUCACUUUAAACUUCAUGCUGGUUGCUUUCCAUGGGGCUCAAUAACAGACUGAGGCUUACCCUAGGAAGGCCAUGGUAAAACCACACACCUGUAGGGAAAAUUGUUUAGAUCCCUUCCUGAGUACAUUGGCAAGGUUAAUGGAUCAGACUAGUGAGCUGUGACUGGACUAGUUGAGGAUCUGAUAAAGUACUGGUGAACUUUGGUGCAGAAGCAGUGAACUGGGUCUUAACAGAGAUGGGCGUAGGUGGUAUGGGCCUGGGAAAGACAUCUGGAAGAAAAAAGAGACAAAAAAAAAAAAAAAAGGCUUUAUUCAGGCGCAGUUACAUCAAGAGCCUGGCCUGCAUUGGAGGAGUUUCUGCUACUGGAUAUCGACAGAUGGUGGGAUACUGGCAUGGCAGGAAGGAAACAUAUCUGGGAAGUACGAAUCAUGGUUUGAUGUGGGCUCUGCAUUGAUCAGGUAUAUGGUUUUGUACAGUACCUAUUUGAGAUAAAGCUUCCAUUUCUUCAGUUGGAGAAUGGUUGAGUCAGACCAUUUAAACCAUCUGUUGUCCUGGUAAUGCUCCAUGACUCUAAGAUGAUCUGAUCCUUGUACUGUAUUCUGUAUGUAAUGAGAGCAUUUCUUACAGCUGUCGAUAAAGCUGAGGAAAUACUCUGUUGUCUGCUGAAGAUCCUAGUGCCCAUUUGCCUUGCAUCUCUACUUUUUCAUUGAUGAAAAGUGAUGAGAGCAUAAAACAUAAUUUAUAAUUAUUUUCAGAAACAUACUAUAAAGCUUUAAAAUUUACAUGGUUGACAAUUGGAAAAGGCUUAGCCAGAACACUAUUAAUAACUCUGAAUUGUACGUGAUCUCAAUUGUACAUGAUUCUUAAAAAAAAAAAUUGUUAACUAAAUCUUACCGUAUAUUAUUAUAUAUUUUAAGAACCUUAUAAUUCUUGUUUUCACCGAAAGUGCAGAUAGAAAACCAAUGGAACAAUGUGAUACCAGGAAUUUCAACAUAAUCUUGUUUCCCUAUGAUUUGAUUAUUAAAUUGGUUGCCUUUUCUGUUUAUUUGGCUUUGUUAAAGAAAUAUUACUCAUAUACGAGUUUCUGACCGCUCAUAUGACCAAUUCUGCUUCCUCACAUGUUGAAGCAUAACAUUAGAGAAACACGCUGAGGCAAACAUUCAAAGCAGGGUUUGUUUAAAAAGGGGGUAACAUAGACUUCUCCGGGAGGGAGAAGGGGGCCAUAACUGGUAUUCUGGUAUCCCAAGAAGUGAGGUGUUCUGCCUUUUUUUUAAUAUCUCCUAGGCUUCCUUUGUUUUCCUGCUCUCUUCCCCUUAUCUUUCUCCUUCCAGGAGAUGCUCAGUGGGAUAGCCAAAAGGUGGGAAACAGGUGGGCUGAAGGGGCCCUGGAGGAGUGAUUCAGGCAGGAAGCAACUCCUUGUGUGUGUGUGUGGGGAAAUUCCUUAGCAACAGGUUGGAGCAGGGGCAGGUUCUCUUGAUAAGGGUGGAGGAAGAGCUCUAAAGGAAUUAACAUUUCAAUUCCUUAAUUCUCUGGAUCCCACCCUUGCCUAUCUGCCUGUCUAAUUCUGGCUUCAAUAUGGCAUGAUCAUGCAUUAAAAAUUAGCCCUGUAUUCAAUAAGAAUGCAGAGAACACAUUACCUUGAUAAAAAAAAAAUGCAUCAUUUAAGGACGGAAUGGAAUCAAAGGAGUUCUGAAAUAGACAUAGAAACCUAUGUGAAGUGAGCAUAUGGAGGAUGGUAGAGGAACAAGCUAUAGUUCUUUAGACUGGAAGAAACACCAGCAGCUGGUAAUGCGGCUGGCACAGAUGGAAAGAAAUGACAUCUUUUUUAAUAGAUAAAAAUAUUCAAAAGCAUAGAUAAUUCCAAUAGAUAUAGCAAAUUUAUAGAGCAUCAUCUCAACGUGGCUAGAAAUUUUACAGAGCAUUGAGAGAGAAAAUGAAAGAGGCAUUGGUUGUAAAGAGAUCUGUGUAAUAAGAAUCGUAAUGCAUUCUGCUGUCAUAUAUUAAUAAAUAAAAUAAAAUAAAAUAAAGUGCAGCCUGUCUAAACUAUAAAAAAAAGAAAGAAAAAAAGAGUUACGGGACCCAUUUAGUUAAAUGUCCAGGCCCCAUAGAAGCUAUUUCCUCUGACCACACUCUUGAGCAUGAGUAUAUUUGAAGAUUUUAACUGAAGUUGAGCUCUGCCAGGGGAUCAUGAGUGAGAGUAGGUCACAGUUCUUUGGAGUUCAGUCCUCUUAAGACUCUCUGUGGAAUCAAGAAAAAAGAAAUGGCGAGUGACCUGAAAUUCAAUGAGACAAUGUGACAGUCUCAGUGAAAAAGUUCAACUAGUUCACAGUGGGAAAAAAAAAAUGGAAAUGGGGUUUUCUGCUGAAACAAGUAACAUUUGUAACCACAAAAUAUAUAUUUUUAAAAAAGUAAAAGUGAUUUUAAAAAGUAAACAUGAUUCUAGGCAAACAAGAUGUAGCCACAAAAAUCAUGGAGAUUAUUUUCCUGCUCAAGGUCUAGAAGCUACGUUAGAGCUGAGAAGGUAACAGUGUGUGGGGGGAGCAGGGUGCUGAGACCUUUCCCGUACUAGGAUUUUGUAAUCUGGAAGGCAUGUGGAUAAGGAGAGGGAGCCAGUCAGCUCAGGUGACAUUUGUUUUUAAGGAACAGAAAUAAUGAGAAAUGUCAGUAAAAUAAUAACUCUGCAUUAAAGGCAACAGGAAAUGGCUUAUUCUGAGCCAAAUGUGAGUGACUAUGACCUAGGAACACCUUCAAGUUACCUUGAGUGGUAUUUUUAUGAUUUAGAUGUAAGGUAUCUCCCAAAAGACAAUGCAAGAAAGCUUAGAGGUGAAGUGAUUGGGUUUUGACAGCCUUAACCUAGUCAGCAUAUUAAUCCUCUGAUAGGGAUUAACUGAUGGUAACUGUAGGCAGGUAGGGUGUGGGUGGAGGAGGUGGGUCAUUGGAGGUAAGCUUAGGAGGCAGAUAUUUUGUCCUUAGUAAGACAGUAGACUCCUCUGCUUCCUACUUGCAACAUCCUGCUUUUCUUAUCCACACCCUUCUACCAUGAUGCUCUGCAACAUGGUAGAACAUGCAACAGAGUUGGCCGUCUACAGACUGAGACCUCUGAAAUGGUAAACCCUAAAUAGGCUUUUCCUCCUCUAAGUUGUUCUUGUCAGGUCUUUUGGUCACAGCAGCGAAAAAACUAACUAAACAGGCAUGUUCCACAUUGAAAGAGGUUACACAAACUUUUAUAGCCAAAAAACAAAGAAAGCCAUAAAUCAACAUAUUUAACAAAUGCGUUUGUAGGACAUAACAUAGGUGGGCCACAGCACAGUGGGCCAAUCUUUCCUAGAGGUGUCAGAUGUUAUCUUGUAGCAUUGUCUACUUUCCGGUUGGUGGAGGUGAUGGGUCUGUUAGCUUAAUAGUACAUUCAGAAAGCUUUACCUAUUAGCCAAGAGAAUAUGAGGUCAGAUGAAAGGUUAAAUCUACAUGGCCUCUUUUUUUAAGGCCGUAAAAUGCCCAAGAUAAAUUUUGCCUGUUGACCUGUAGCAUUUCAUCUCUCCACAUUCAGUAUGUUUUAAUCAGCCAAGGUCAUACAGUUUGCAGGAUCUUUAAUAUCUUUUUCCUGUUCUCUUCAGAGAACUUUAGCUUCACACUAGGAACCAUGACUUUGAGCCACUUUUACUCUAGACUUCUCCCAGAUCAGAUAGCAAAAUUUUACAUGUCUGGCUAAGGCAGUACUAAAGUGCUUAGGAAUUUCUGAUUAGAGAUUUAAAGAAAAUCCAAGAUUUCUGACAAGAUAUCAAAUGUAGUGAAGUUACAUGCAAGAUGAACAUUAAAAUAAACUUUUGGAGUAACUUUAAUGUUAGCUCAAGUACAUGGAGGAACUGUGAUUGAAACGAGUUGGUUUGUCUCCAAAGGCCAGUCAUUCCACUGUCUAUCUUCCACUGAUUGCUAUGUUCAAAAUUCCCCAAAUUCAUGUUUUAGAACUUAAUCAUCAUUGUGAUAGAACUAAGAGGUGGAGCCCUUUGGGAAGUGUAUGGUACCUUAUGAAAGGGCUGGAAGGAACUGUCUUAGGCCCUGUUUUGCUCCUGUGCCUUCUGCCACAAGAGGGCAUGAUAGUUUCUCCCUCUGUAGAAUGGAACACAAGGACCUUCACCAGACACCAAACCUCAUGAUAGCCUCAUCUGAAGACUUAUCAUCUCCAGAACUGUGAGAAAUAAUUUUUUAUUCUUUAUAAAUUAAAGUCUCAGGUAUUUUGUUGUAGCAGCCCAAGUGCACUAAGACAGUAAUUAUUCCUUAAAUAUAAAUACCAUUCAGAUGUCUGUCCUGAGACCUCGUUUCUCUUUGAUCACCAUACUCUUUCAGGACAGUCACAUGCAGCCCAGCACUUCAGUGACUACAUGUGUCUGUCACAUGUGACAGACACAGAUUUUAUCCAUAAAAAAAAAAACUCAACAGUAAUUUUACAGUAAUUUUCACACCACAUCAAUUUCUUAUAUAAAUUUAAUAUCACAUCUCAGGUAUUGACCUUACUCCCAAUUAUCUUCUUCUUAUGAGAUUCAAAAAUUAUUGACUUAUACCCCAGUAUGUUCACAUUUUAUCCCUAAAAUUAUCUCACCCUCAGUCAUUGACAGCAUUAAUUAAUAUAUAAAGUAUAUUAAGAAUUUAGUGAAAACUAAAAUCCCACUGCAUCUGCACCAGUUCACACAAUAAUAUUUACAUACUAUUCUGCCUACCACACCCUAUAUAAGCAUCACAACCCACAUGUUAAUGUCGCUUACAUUUAAAGCAAAGCACUGAAAAUGCUUUUAAAUCUGUGUCUGUCAGAUGUCUUUUCACUAAAUUUUGGGCUUAUAUAUAUAGCCAGCUACAUACCUCACAGCUUCUCAUGGACGUCUUCAAAACAACCCCAACUUCAUGUAUAAUAAUGAAAACUCAGCAUGAAACCCUUUCCAAACCCUUCACUGUAUUUACAGCUCUUUCUUUGCUGCUCUGUGAGAACCCGGCUUAUUAGUAUUUCAUUUUUCCUCCUUGUCCAGUAUCUGCUCUUCAGUGUAUGUUUCUGAUUCUCAUUCUUUUAAUUUUUUCAGUUUCUAAUGUUUGUAUCUUUUGGAAACUACUUUAUUAUGGAAAGAAUCUAAAUAAAUUAGUCAAAAAAAUAAAGGUUAAGAGCUGAGUACAGUGGCAAGGAGGGUGUGUCCUCAUAAAUUGCCAUGAUCUCCCAGUAGGUGGCGCUCACACUGCACUUUGCCUCUAGUUUUUUUUUAUGCUGAGAAAUAUUUCACACAACUUUCUCUAUACAGAUGAUAAAUUUAAGGUAAUAUGCUAUUUUGUGUUUUGUGAUCUUUCAAAUAGCCCUCUAGGCUACUAAUUCUGUACCUAAUGAUUUGUGUUCUUAUUGUAUAAAGGAAGUUAGAGUUUGGGGCAAAGUUGAUAGAAAGAACACAAUUUAUUAUGGGGAGAAUGUGUAAUAUGGGGUGAGAGGAAGCAAAGCCCUGGAUACCAAAGAUCUCAAACAAAUAGAAUUUAAUAAAUUUGUAUCAUCCUGUGGGAAACCAGCAACCUGGAAAGCAGAAAGGAAAACCCAGAUAUGGACAGAGUGAGCUAACUAAACCCAUAUCAAGUGUUAUCUGGAAAAUAAAGGGGGAGGACCAUACAUUAAAAUCAGAUACAUAAGGUAGUCUUGGCAUCCAUUCACAAGAUGUGUGAUCUUGGGAAAGUGUUUUCUUUCUGGGAUUUAUAUUUCUUUUCUCCAGAAUGAUAACAUUGAGCUAAGUGAUCUUGAAAAUUCCACAAUUGCUAAACAGAAAUCUUGAGUAAAAGGGAAAAAGUAAUUCCAUGAUCAGCAGGUAAAAGAUACAGGCCAACAGCUUCCAUGGUUUAGUAUAUAUUAACUAACAGAUCCUUGCGCAGAAUUUCUUUCUGAUGGGUGUUAACUGUAGGCCACUGUUAUGAAUCCUGGCUGUAUCUAAGGUUUAAUUGGGGAGGCAUAGCAAUGACAGCCCCACUCAGACCAGCUAUGGGAGUCUCGGGACGUGAGGCCCAGGUAUCUUUGUCAAAAAAGGGUCUAGGCAGCUUGAAUAUACACAUGAGAUUAAGAACCACAGAUGCAGAUCAUUAGAAAGACUGAUGAUGCUAAAACCUUUAGUGAGAAUAAACAAUGUUCUUAGUAGUCAUGGAAGGCUUAUGCAUAUGCCUGGAAAGGAAAAAUAUGCACAGGACAAAUGAAAGAGUGAAAAAGAGAGCAGACGAUACAGAGAACAAGUCUGGGGGUGAAAUAUAAAAGCACACAGUAUGGAUACCGCCAAAUGUAAAUUUUCACCACUUUUGGAAAAACUUUGAAAAAUGAAGACAUUGCUCCGUUAAGAAAGAAAAGAAAAAGGAAAGAAGAAAGAAAGAAAAAGGAAAUAAUUUUUUUUCACCUUACAUUUCAUCCUUCAAUUCCAUUGUCUACACGAGGGAAAUGUUAAGUGUAAGAAAUGACAUAAUUUUGUUUUUAUAACUUUAAUUGUCUUAUGUGGAAUCCCCCCUUUCCCUUUCCAGUUGGAAAGGCUCCAUUUCUUAAACUCUUUUAUUAUUUUUUUUUUAUUAGAGCACUAUAUCUUUACAUGGUUAUCUGGGUUUCUUUUGACAUAUUAUACAUAAUAUAAGGAAUUUUAUUUUAAUCCCCAUUUCCUCUCCCCUUAUCUCCCCUCUUUUUCCCCCUUUCUCUUUGCUCUACUGAUCUUCCUUUCAUGCCUUUAUUCAUUUGUUGUUGAUUGGUAAUUUCUAUGGACAGGUGAAGAAGAUAUUUCUUUGAUACAUUUAUAUAUGAAUGUAACAUGACUUUGUUAAGAUUUUUUCCACAUUUCUUUCCUUCCUCAUUCCCUUCCAUUACUCUUACUUCUACUCCACUGCUCUUCCUUAUAACUUUGUGAUAACUAACACCCUCCUGGAUCGAGAAGGCUCCACUUAAGACAUCUCUAUGCAGACAGAGUGCUGUGACAUCUGCCAGUCUCUUUUUUAUUGAAUUCUUUGUUAACUUAGUUUGCAGAUUUAUGGUUCUCAACUUGUUUUCAGCGCCUCAAAUAAUCUGAUAGUGUGUUAAUCAAGUCUUUGUUACUGUAACAAAAUGACUGAGAUAAUCAAUAAGAGAGGUUUAUUUUGGCUCACAGUUUUGGAGAUUUCAGGCCAUGAUCAAUUGGCCCUGUUGCUUUGGGCCUAUGACAGCACACCAAGGUGGGAACAUGUAGAGCAAAACCAUUCACCCGAUAGCUAAAAGCCAAGAGAGGAGGGAAAGGUGUUGGGGUCCUUUUGAAGGCACUUUCCCAGUACCUGAAGUCCUCCCACUAAGACCACAAGAAUACAUCACCUCCCAAUAAUGCCCAGCUGUGGACCAGCCUUUACCACACAAGCCUUUGGUAUAUAUUGAAGAUCCAAACUGUAGCAGAUAGUAUUGUAUUAAUCUUAAUUUCCUGAUUGUGAUAAUAAAUGUAUUAUGGUUAUAUAAGAUGCAAAACCCUGAAGAAUUGGGUAAAAGGUAUAUGUAACACACUGUCAUUUUUGCAACAUUUUUAUAAGCAUAAAUUAUUCCAAAUUGAAAAAGCUAAGGAGAUAAAAAUGAUAGAAUAUCAAUGAAAAUACAUUUGCAAGAGACUUGAAAAAUAUCUAAUAUAUUGCUUUUGUGUUAUUUUAUAAACUGCUAAAAUUUGAGUUCAAUUUUAUUAUAGUCUCUUAAAAAAUUAUUAUUAUCAGGUAUAAAGUUGUAAAAGAUAUGGAAUGUAUAAUACAGCAUUUUCAAGCACUUAUCUACAAAAAUUAACUUUUGAAACAUGCUUUUGGUUAACUAAGCUAACAAGUUGAGGACAAAGAAUAUAAAAGUUCAGAAAGAAAACUGGGGAGCUUGGUAUAUUGUGAACAAAAAAAGUUUUUGUCUUCUAAAAGUGUUCAUGUAAAAAUCAAUGAAUUGUGUGGCUAUGAAUGAAUGUUUUAAAAGCAAAGAUUUUCUUUUAGACAGAUAAUAAAUAUUUUAUAAAACAUUUAAAUGUCAAUUCAAAUACAACUAGGCUGUUUUCAGUUGAAUAUAGUUGUCCAAAUUGUCCUAAUUAAAAAAAAAUAGCAGUUAAAACAAGCCAAUUUUGCUCUGGUAAGUAUUAUUUUCAGCCAGAGACAUAGUUGAAGUUGUUGAUUUUAACAGCGGUUUGAAAAUUCUUGCAAUUAUUUGGUCACUGUAAAGCACUUAUAAAAAUAAAAGUAGGCACAUUUCCUGAGAAAACACCUUUGAAAAGUCUAUGAAACAAGAUAUUUUAAUUUUCAUCUGAGUUAAUAUUUGGAUGCCAUAAUACACAAUUGUCUGAGAUUUUAAAAAAUUAUUAUUAUCAGGUAUAAAGUUGUUUUGAAAGGCUUUACCUAUAGAUAAAAUUUGUUGGCUUUCUCUUGACUUCUUUUCUGCAACAUAGAUUCAUUUGUACACAUUGUAUACUGUAACUAGCAUCUAAUACUUAGCUUUCUAUUCUUUCUGCUUUUUCUUUUAAUUUUGGAAACCUAUAAUUAAAGGUCAACAUUGGAAAUUUAUCAAAUAGUUCUAUUUAUUUCAUAUGCAUGCUUAAAUAGGCCUCUUUGUACAUGCAGAAGUCCCAAAGAUGAAUAUCUUUUGGUAUUUCUCUUUUCUCUCAUGCUUUCUUCCUCAUUCAUUACUGCUUUAAACAGUUUCAUAUUGAGUAUUUUUUUUCUCUCCUCAGUAGUGAGGAUUGAACCUAGGAGGACUUUACUAUUGAGUUACAUCUCCAGCCCUUUUCAAUUUUUAAUUUUGAGAUAUAUCUAAGUUACUGAGGCUGACCUGGAACUUGGGAUUCUUCUACUUCAGAUUACUGAGUUUCUGAGAUGACAGGUGUGUGCCAUGCCUCACUCAUGUUUGAGUAUAAGAGUUUUUAGUUCUGUCUUCAAUUGAUGAUCUGUUUCUCUCCUGCCCUUUGGACUUUCCAUUCCAUGUUCUGCUUUUGCUCUUUGCUUUUAUGUAAAAUUCUCUAACUUCAAUUUAUUUCAUUGGCUUCUUGAGAAUUUCUUCAGAUUGCCUACCUGUGGUACCGAGCUGACUCCUUGAAAGUCAGGUUGGUCUACCUGAACCAUGAUAAGGGGAAGAUUUUGCAGUAGAGUCCUUAUGGAGCCAUCUAGGUAGGAGUUUCUAGAGCAUAGCAAGGCAGAAUAUGGAAGGCUCCAAAUUCCCUCUGAAGUUUUCCCAGCUGGACUUUUUGAGGAAAGAGUAUCAUUGCUAUCAGUGCAAACCACUAUCAGCUAGUACUGAAACAUUGCCUCUGUGCAUCAGAGGGCUGUCACUUGACCUUCCUUCAUUUCAGACAAUCCAUUGUUUGAGGAAUCUACACUACACUUAAUGUUGCUUAUAGAUCAGUCAGUUUGUGUUCCUGGGAUACAUAAGUGCUGAAGGAGGAGGCAUUAGAUAUGAACAAGAACAGAGAUUCACCCAUUCUGUCUCAGAAACAAUUGAGAUAUUCAAAGUAUAAAGUAAAAAGUACACUAGAUAUUUGUUAAAAAUAGCAUGGAAGAUUUUAUUUAGGACUACUGCAAAAAGGGUCAAAGCUAUUGCAAUAGGGGAGAUUGCACUCAACUCAGGGGAAAUAAAAGGCAAGAGAGUUUGUAAGUGCUAAGAUAAGCUGGUAGAAAAGCACUGGAGGAUAUUAGGAGGGACACUGGUAAAUGUGCUUAGGUCUUUCGUAUUUGCUAAUUGGUGUUUAUUGCAGUUCAACUCCUACCCUCCCAUAGAGACUGGGACACCAUCUUUCCUGAUGGUUACAUGGAGAAGAUGUACAUCUCAAAGGAGAAGAGAAAAAAAAUCUAGUGAGGUUUCCUUACAUAAAAGAUCUAAGAAAAGGGAAGUCAGUGGCCUUGGCCUGUGGUCAGAAGAAAACCCACCUACAGUUAAGUCAAGAUGAGGGAAUUGUGAAGGCCAUCUUGGUCACAGAGGAGGGGAAUCUCCAGUGAGCCAGGAAAGGAAUAAGGAAUCUUCUUGCUGCCUGUUUUUUUCUCCCUCCCUAAUUCCAAAGGAUUCAGAAAUUUAAGAAGUGGGAGGGAAAAUUAAAAAAAAAAAAAAAAAAGAGGGAAGAAGAAAGAACAAAUGUUUUAUACCUCCUUCCUGUAGUUUUCUAUGUAUAGUAUAGAUUGCAACUGUGGGAAGGAAUGAAAUGCCCUGAUGUAAAAUCAGGAUGAUAUUAGAUGGAAAUGAACACUUUUUAAAGGUUCAUGGAGAGCCUAAUAUUUUCUCAGAAUGAACGGGAAAAGCACAAAUCAUGGGACUUCUGGAGAGUUUUUACCCAGAGUAGAUCAAAUGUAAAGUGGGAGAUGAAAAUAAAUUUUCUUUUUUAAUUCAUCUCAUUAGUUGUGGUUAUAAUUAUUAACAGCCAAUAUAAUUACAAACUAAUAAAAUUAUUCUGUGAAAAUGUGACACUCUUUAAGAGUUUACUAUAAAGACUCAAUUUACACAAAUAAAAUUGUAAAUAUACUUUAAGAAGAAGAAAAAUAUUAUUGGAAGAGAAAAUCUCAAAUUCAUGAAGAAAUUUUAAGAAAUAGGUAACUCGGAUAAAUAAAAUUAAAUACUGAUUGCAACUCUCUCUUUGGGGGAGGGGUUAAGAUGGUCUAAGAUCACAUCAUUCCUAUUUAAAUAGUUGUUUAUUUAGGGGAAUCAAAAGAAGUAAUAGACAACAAUGCCACAUGAUGCUAAUAAAUGGCAUAAAAUAAUAUUUAAAAAAUAGUGAAAAUAGUGAUUUUUCAUAAAUGUGUAUGUCAUUUGUGAACACUAGGAGUGCUAUUUUGGUACAGCAUAACAUAUACAUAGCUAUAUGACUAGCACAUAAAAUUCUUUAAAAAUGUACAUAUAAAUACACUUUGACAAUUUUUUUUAAGUCAGAUUAUGCUUCUGUGUUCUUUCUGUCACUGUGACAAAACACUGGAGAGAAAUCAACUUAAAGAGGGGAAAGUUUAUUUUGCCUAAUGGUUUUAGGGGUUUUAGUUCACAGCCACUUUGCCCUGUUGCUUUCAGGCCUGCAGCAAGGCAGUACAUUAUGGUGAACACAUGUAGCUGAGGAAAACUGCUCAUCUUAUGGUGGUCAUGAAGCAAAGAGAACUGCUUUUAUGUCAAGAACCCUCCUUCUAUACCCAUUAAGCUACGAGUCCAUAAAUAGCUUAAUCCAUUAAGCCAUCAAUGAGACUCAAGCCCUCACCAGAUGUGGCCCCUGGACCUUGUAUCAGAACUGUGAGCCAAAAUAAACUUCCUUUCUUUUAAUUUA